UACGGGGGGGGCAAGCGUUGUUCGGAAUUACUGGGCGUAAAGGGCUCGUAGGUGGCCAACUAAGUCGGACGUGAAAUCCCUCAGCUUAACUGGGGAACUGCGUCCGAUACUGGAUGGCUUGAGUUUGGGAGAGGGAUGCGGAAUUCCAGGUGUAGCGGUGAAAUGCGUAGAUAUCGGAAGGAACGCCGGUGGCGAAAGCGGCGCUCUGGUCCUCUUCUGACGCUGAGGCGCGAAAGCCAGGGGAGCAAACGGG
rnacentral:rRNA from 1 species